rnacentral:rRNA from 1 species
GACGUAGGGCGCAAGCGUUGUCCGGAUUUAUUGGGCGUAAAGAGCUCGUAGGCGGCUUGUUGCGUCGUCCGUGAAAACCCGCAGCUCAACUGCGGGCUUGCGGACGAUACGGGCAGGCUGGAGUUCGGUAGGGGAGACUGGAAUUCCUGGUGUAGCGGUGGAAUGCGCAGAUAUCAGGAGGAACACCAAUAGCGAAGGCAGCUCGCUGGGACGGUACUGACGCUAAGGCGCGAAAGCGUGGGGAGCGAACAGG